rnacentral:rRNA from 1 species
GGGCCCGCACAAGCGGAGGAACAUGUGGUUUAAUUCGAUGAUACGCGAGGAACCUUACCCGGGCUUAAAUUGCAUUUGAAUAUAGUUGAAAGAUUAUAGCCGCAAGGCAAAUGUGAAGGUGCUGCAUGGUUGUCGUCAGCUCGUGCCGUGAGGUGUCGGCUUAAGUGCCAUAACGAGCGCAACCCUUAUCUUUAGUUACUAACAGGUGAUGCUGAGGACUCUAGAGAGACUGCCGUCGUAAGAUGCGAGGAAGGUGGGGAUGACGUCAAAUCAGCACGGCCCUUACGUCCGGGGCUACACACGUGUUACAAUGGGGGGUACAGAAGGCAGCUACACAGCGAUGUGAUGCUAAUCCCGAAAGCCUCUCUCAGUUCGGAUUGGAGUCUGCAACUCGACUCCAUGAAGCUGGAUUCGCUAGUAAUCGCGCAUCAGCCACGGCGCGGUGAAUACGUUCCCGGGCCUU